GGCCAGUUGGCUCAGUUGGUUAGAGCAUGGUGUUGAGAACACUAAAGUCAAGGGUUCGGAUCCCCUUACUGGUCA